UUAAAUUGUGUACACAUCAUUGGAGUUUAUAGACUAAUGCACUCACACCGGAAGGCUGGUUGGUAGAUUCACCACGUAUCUGGAUGUGGGAUUCUAAUGUGACUGCUUUAUAACAACAUUUGGCAGUAGCACCUGAGGCUGUUAUUUGACUGCUGAACCCUUCUGGACUUUCGACGCCUAGCGGCAUCAGGAUUAUCAAUAGCUUAGGAGGUGCUGCAAUUGUGAGCUUCCCGCUGAACGAUUUUAUUGCAGAAACAUGUCGCGAUCUAGAACGCCAACUUCUUCGCAGUGCUGCAUAUGUGUUGAUGCAUUACAGAUUCUGGUGUUUCCUUGGGGAGCGAACUCUCCAAGUUUGCAUGCACUUGAGUAGGCUGCUCAAUGGAUUGGAGAAUCAGCCUGCGGGACUGGUAAUUCAUCUAUUGAGAAAUUAUUGAUGCCUGCCAUCAGUAAAUGCAGGAAUCAGGAAACAUUGUUCCAGAAAUCAGACGAGGUUUUAUUAGUAAUCCAUUCCUGUCUCUUGGUAGAGACUUGGGUUGGGUCACCAGGGUCAGAGUUUGGGCCUGGCAAACUGUAGUGGCUUUUCCUUAUUGACAAAGCCAAGGCCUUGAUGGAUGUGCCUGCAAGCUUGCAGGUUUAAUUAUUGGGCGCCGACAACUUAUGGCUACAAGGAUCAAUGUACUGGGUUAAGGAAUUACAAUUUAUGGCCUUAUUUUUCUUUUUCUAACUUUAGUCUCUCUCACUUUUGCUCUUGGGAGUCGGGAAAAAACAGAAAGGAAAAGGAAAAGCAGACGCGUAGGGAAUGGAUCAUAGUAUCAUGUAAAGUCUCUUUCUUGCUUAGGGACGUGCUUUAUUA